rnacentral:pre_miRNA from 1 species
NNACUACUCCCUCUGUCCCAAAUUUCUUGUCUUAGAUUUGUCUAGAUACGGAUGUAUCUAAUACUAAAAUGUGACUUGAUACAUCCAUAUCUAGACAAAUCUAAGACAAGAAUUUUGGGAUGGAGGGAGUACUUU